rnacentral:rRNA from 1 species
UCCAUGAAGUUGGAUUCGCUAGUAAUCGCGCAUCAGCCAUGGCGCGGUGAAUACGUUCCCGGGCCUUGUACACACCGCCCGUCAAGCCAUGGGAGCCGGGGGUGCCUGAAGUUCGUGACCGCAAGGAGCGACCUAGGGCAAAACUGGUGACUGGGGCUAAGUCGUAACAAGGUAAC